rnacentral:lncRNA from 1 species
AAAUUUGAAGGAUAUUCGACACGGUCAGAUGAUGCGGGCUUACGACAAAUGGGGUUCAUCCUAAAGAAUUGAGGACCUGGUGUUGAAGAAGAUCCUUUGUUUACAAAAGGGCUUUAAAGGAAAGUGGAUGCCAAACUAGGAAGGACCUUAUGUAAUAAGGAAGGACCUUAUAUAAUACAGAAGGCCUGUUCUGGAAGAGCAUUGAUAUUGUCCGAAAUGGAUGGUAAGAACCUGCCCAAUUCGGUGAAUUCAGAUUUAGUCACAGUUAAUAAUUUAAAAUAAAACACAAAAAAGAAAAGAAAAAGAAAUUAGAGGCGCAAAGACGAAAACCCGUAAAUGGCACCUUGAGUCCAAAAGGGAUUUGAGUUGAAAACCUGAAAAGGGUGGCUCAAGUUUGGAUCAAAGUGGGGCAUACAAUAGUCUUGCUAUGUCUGAAUUAACAAUGAAGAAGUAUGCCACGUCUUGGGGCAUCGACAAAGUACUCCGGAUUCCCUAAACACAAAUUGAGCUCAAAAUGGUCCUCAAGAAGUUGGUACAAAGAAGCUCAAGCUGCGAUAUCUAGGGCAUCUAGUUUUCCAUUU